CCCUGCCAUUUGUACACACCGCCCGUCGCACCUACCGAUUGAAUGGUCCGGUGAAAUCUUUGGACUAUGGCUUUGUCUUUGUCUUCGGGCGAAGCGCUGCCGUGGGAAGUUGAUUAAACCUUACCAUU
rnacentral:rRNA from 1 species